UACAGGGGGUGCAAACGUUGCUCGGAAUCAUUGGGCGUAAAGCGCACGUAGGCGGUUAUUUAAGUCGGAUGUGAAAGCCCUUGGCUCAACCGAGGAAGUGCAUCCGAAACUGAAUAGCUGGAGUACGAAAGAGGGUCGCGGAAUUCCCGGUGUAGAGGUGAAAUUCGUAGAUAUCGGGAGGAACACCGGUGGCGAAGGCGGCGACCUGGGUCGAUACUGACGCUGAGGUGCGAAAGCGUGGGGAGCAAACAGG
rnacentral:rRNA from 1 species